rfam:Gossypium hirsutum cultivar TM-1 unplaced genomic scaffold scaffold2688.1, whole genome shotgun sequence
UUAAUGGAGUUUUUAGACUCCACAAUCAGAAUUAAGAGAUUGAUA